rnacentral:lncRNA from 1 species
CAGGCACAGUGCUACUAAGCUAAAUACCUGGUCCACUUAAUAGCUACUCUUAUAUAAGUUAUUAUAUCUCCUUUUGUGAAAUAUUGGUUCAAAUAUUUUAGUCAUUUUUAAAUUAUUCACUUUUGUUUCAUAGUAGAAUAAUAAUCUUUUUAUUAUUAACUUGGAAGUCUUCUUUUCUUCUAUUAUAUUAUUAAUUUAUAUAUUCUGGAUGUAAUUUCUUUUUCUGACAUGUGUUACAAAUAUUUUCCCAAUAUAGCUCAAAAACUCAUGUCUUUGAUAGAAUAUCUUUGUUUUUUUUUUUGGUACCAGGGAUCAAACUCGGGUCCUUGCACUUGCGCAGCAGGCAGCGAAACCACUGAGCUAAAUCCCCAGUCCUUGAUAGAAUAUCUUGAUAUGCAAAACAUUUCAAUUUUGUCAAAAUCUAAUUUUUAAAAUCUUUUAUAGUUAGCAUAUACUCUUUUCUAGUAAAUCUUUGUCUGCUACAGGUCACAAAGAUACUAUCUUAUGUUUUCUUCUGGGACAUCUUAUUGUUUUAUCUUUUGCAUUUUGAUUUCAGAUGAAUCUUAGUUUUUGUGUAUGGAAUCAGGUAGUGGUUAAAAUUUAUUUUUACUUCAGGGAUACCCAGCUUUUCUGGGAAUAUUUGCUGAAGAGAACAUUUUCUUUUUAUCCAUUAAAUUAGAUUAGCAUCCUUAUUAAGAGUCAAUGAGUCAAUUGCUCAUAUACAGAGUUUGCGUAUAUAUAUUUCAGCAGUUUGCCAUACUAAUAAAUGUCUGGAAGCUAAUAGCCACCACUUUGAGCACUUCUUGUAAUUUUAUAGGCCAAAAGGAACUUGUAUUAAUCUCAAAAUGUCUCAAUAAAUUUAGUAUUAAAAUAUUUAUACAAGUUUUUCUUUUCCUGAUGCAUACAUUUUUUGGCAGACUCUGUAUGUAUGGGUAUACUGAUGGAUCGUCUAUUCUAUUUUACUGACUAUUUUAUCUAUCCUAACCAGAGCAGUGGUUAGCUUGAAUGCAGUAACUUUACACUAAGUCUUGGAAUCAGGAAAUUCAAGUAAUACAACUUUUUUAUUCAUAUUGAAUCACAUUUCUAUCUAUUAGAGCUCUUUGGUGUUUGUGCAUGAACUUUAGACUCACUGUGAAAUUCUUUUAAAAAGUAUACUGCUUAGAUUUUGCUUCUGAUUUCAUUGAUUAUGUAAAGGUGCAAAUUUCCAAUGAUGAAUGUCAUUAUACUGUAUACCUAAAAUGUACCAAUAAAAUUAAUUUUUAAAAAGAAUGGAUAUCUUUAAAAUCCUGAGUUAUAUAAUCUGUGAACAGAAUAUCUUUCCAUUUAGUGAGUCUUCUUUAAAAUAGUUCACUAAAAGUUUUCAGUAUGUAGGUUGCAGACAUUAUUUAGAUUUAUUCUUUUUUUUUUUUUUUGGUACUGGGGAUCAAACUCGGGUCCUUCCCUUGCGCAGCAGGCAGCGAAACCACUGAGCUAAAUCCCCAGCCCUAGAUUUAUUCUUAAGUACCUACUUUUUACUGUAUGCUAAAGGGUAUUUUAAAUUUUUAUUUUUCAAAUAUUUUUAUUUGUAAAACUAUAUUUUGGUUAUUUAUCUUUUAUUUUGCAACCUCCGUAAAUAUACUUUGAAUUUCUAGAUUUUGUAGAUCCCACUGGUUAUAUGCACUUCUGUCAUCUGAAAAUAAUGAAAAUUGUAUGUCUUCAUUUCCAAUCUAUCUUUUUUGGUUCACUUUCUCCCCUCUCUUCUUCCUUUCCUUCUUUUUUCUCUCCCUCUCUCACUCCCUUCUUCUUUCUCCCCUAGUGUGACUUAUAGCUUAAGGAUGUUCAAGAGACUCAAGUAUCGAAGACCCCUACAGUUAGGUUCCAGUACCUGCCCAGUAUAGAACACAGGCCUGAGAAAUAAAACUAAAAGACGGAACUAGGAGAGAAAAUGGGGUGCCAGGGCAACGAAUGCCAGUGCAACCGACAAACCCAGGCACUGACUUUUAUUGGCAAUCAAUUGGGAUAAAGGCAAGCUACGUGCAGUUUCUAUAGAAAUUUUAGGAAGAGAAUAGACAAAAUAUAUGGUUGUAAUUAGAACACCAUUCUUCUAGUAAAAAGGUUUUUGUUGUGGGAACAGAACUUGGGUGCAAGUUACUCUGACCUCAGCAUGUAGGUUUGUAGGCUUCGUAGGCUUCACCAGACUCACUUCUCAAAACAACCCAGGUGUGGGGUUAAUUCUUCACAGCCUGCUUUGGGCAGAAUCAAUGUUACGGUCCUCUGCACUCAAGCAGAAAUCGUUACCUUCCAAGUGUAAAGGAAGUUGUGCUUCACCAUGAUCUGAUGAAGGAAAUUUCAUUCUUUUUAUUUUCAGAUUAUGAUUGUUCAGAGGCUGUAUCAUGAGUAGGUGCUGAGUUUUAUUAUGUUUAUUCUGCAUCUGUUGAUAUGGUCAUAUAAUCUUUCUUCUUUAUUCUGAUAAUGUGAAUGAUACUUAUUGACUUCUUAAAAAUGACAAUCAACCUUGCUAUCUCAGGAUAAAUUUCAUUUGGUCGACAUAUAUUGUUCUUUUAAUAUAUUGGCAGGUUUUAUGUGCUAGCAAUUCUUAAGAGCUUCCACAUUAUUUUUCCUUAGGAGUGCUGGUCUAUAAUUUUCUGUUCUUGUAAUGACUUUAUGAGGUUUUAGAAACAUAAUUAUGCUAACAUGAUGAGUUGAGAAAUGUUCCAACACCUUAUAUUUUGUGAGAGUAUGAUAUUGACAUUAUUUCUGCCUUAAAUGUUUGAUGGAAUUCAUUAGUAAAGCUAUCUGGCUCUGAGUUUUAUUUAUGGG